CCUACGGGAGGCAGCAGUGAGGAAUAUUGGUCAAUGGGCGGAAGCCUGAACCAGCCAAGUAGCGUGCAGGAUGACGGCCCUACGGGUUGUACACUUCUUUUAUACGGGAAUAACGCGCCUUACGUGUAGGGCUUUGCAUGUACCGUAUGAAUAAGGACCGGCUAAUUCCGUGCCAGCAGCCGCGGUAAUACGGAAGGUCCGGGCGUUAUCCGGUUUUAUUUGGUUUAAAGGGAGCGUAGGCCGUGUGCAAAGCGUGCUGGGAAAUACGCGGGCUCAACCCGGGCCGGGCAGGGCGAACUGGCGUGCUUGAGUCCGCGGAAAGCAGACGGAAUUCGUCGUGGAGCGGUGAAAUGCUUAGAUAUGACGAAGAACCCCGAUUGCGAAGGCAGCUUGCUGCAGCGGAACUGACGCUGAUGCUCGAAAGCGCGGGUAUCGAACAGGAUUAGAUACCCUUGUAGUC
rnacentral:rRNA from 1 species